UACGUAGGGGGCGAGCGUUGUCCGAAGUUACUGGGCGUAAAGCGCGCGUAGGCGGGUUGGCAAGUCUGCUGUGAAAGCCCGGGGCUUAACUCCGGAAUUGCCUUUAAGACUGCAUCGCUAGAAUCAUGGAGAGGUUAGUGGAAUUCCGAGUGUAGAGGUGAAAUUCGUAGAUAUUCGGAAGAACACCAGUGGCGAAGGCGACUAACUGGACAUGUAUUGACGCUGAGGUGCGAAAGCGUGGGGAGCAAACAGG
rnacentral:rRNA from 1 species